CAGUCGCCGCGGUAAUACGUAGGGAGCAAGCGUUGUUCGGAUUUACUGGGCGUAAAGGGCGCGUAGGCGGCGCGGUAAGUCACUUGUGAAAUCUCUGAGCUUAACUCAGAACGGCCAAGUGAUACUGCUGUGCUAGAGUGCGAAAGAGGCAACCGGAAUUCUUGGUGUAGCGGUGAAAUGCGUAGAUAUCAAGAGGAACACCUGAGGCGAAGGCGGGUUGCUGGGCCGACACUGACGCUGAUGCGCGAAAGCCAGGGGAGCAAACGGGAUUAGAUACCCGUGUAGUCCCUGUCUCUUAUAC
rnacentral:rRNA from 1 species